rnacentral:rRNA from 1 species
AGUGAACGCUGGCGGUAGGCCUAACACAUGCAAGUCGAACGGCAGCACAGUAAGAGCUUGCUCUUACGGGUGGCGAGUGGCGGACGGGUGAGGAAUACAUCGGAAUCUACUUUUUCGUGGGGGAUAACGUAGGGAAACUUACGCUAAUACCGCAUACGACCUACGGGUGAAAGCAGGGGAUCUUCGGACCUUGCGCGAUUGAAUGAGCCGAUGUCGGAUUAGCUAGUUGGCGGGGUAAAGGCCCACCAAGGCGACGAUCCGUAGCUGGUCUGAGAGGAUGAUCAGCCACACUGGAACUGAGACACGGUCAAGACUCCUACGGGAGGAAGCGGUGGGGAAUAUUGGACAAUGGGGGCAAGCCUGAUCCAGCCAUACCGGGGGGGGGAAGAAGGCCUUCGGGUUGUAAAGCCCUUUUGUUGGGAAAGAAAAGCAGCAGGGUAAUAACCCGCUGUUCUGACGGUACCCAAAGAAUAAGCACCGGCUAACUUCGUG